AUACGAAGGUCCCAAGCGUUAUUCGGAAUCACUGGGCGUAAAGAGUACGUAGGCGGUUUGGUAAGUCAGGUGUGAAAUCCCGAAGCUCAACUUCGGAACUGCAUCCGAUACUGCCAGACUUGAGUAAUGGAGAGGCAGGUGGAAUUCUCGGUGUAGCAGUGAAAUGCGUGGAUAUCGAGAGGAAGACCAAUGGCGAAGGCAGCCUGCUGGACAUUGACUGACGCUGAGGUACGAAGGCUAGGGGAGCGAAAGGGAUUAGAAACCCGAGUAGUCC
rnacentral:rRNA from 1 species